rnacentral:rRNA from 1 species
UACGUAGGAGGCAAGCGUUAUCCGGAAUGACUGGGCGUAAAGGGUGCGUAGGUGGUUUGACAAGUUAGUAGCGCAACUCCGGAGCUCAACUUCGGAACUACUACUAAAACUGUUGGACUUGAGUGCAGGAGGGGCAAUCGGAAUUCCUAGUGUAGCGGUGGAAUGCGUAGAUAUUAGGAGGAACACCGGCGGCGAAGGCGGCCUGCUGGACCGUAACUGACGUUGAGGCUCGAAAGCGUGGGGAGCAAACAGG